rnacentral:tRNA from 1 species
AAGAAAAUGGCCGAAUGGAUAUGCUGCUGACUUGAAAUCAGUUUAUGGGGGUUCGAUUCCCUCUUUUCUCG